rnacentral:rRNA from 1 species
CCUACGGGAGGCAGCAGUGGGGAAUAUUGCACAAUGGGGGGAACCCUGAUGCAGCGACGCCGCGUGAGUGAAGAAGUAUUUCGGUAUGUAAAGCUCUAUCAGCAGGGAAGAAAAUGACGGUACCUGACUAAGAAGCCCCGGCUAACUACGUGCCAGCAGCCGCGGUAAUACGUAGGGGGCGAGCGUUAUCCGGAUUUACUGGGUGUAAAGGGAGCGUAGACGGUUAUGCAAGUCUGAAGUGAAAGCCCACGGCUCAACCAUGGGACUGCUUUGGAAACUGUAAAACUGGAGUGCAGGAGAGGUAAGCGGAAUUCCUAGUGUAGCGGUGAAAUGCGUAGAUAUUAGGAGGAACACCAGUGGCGAAGGCGGCUUACUGGACUGUAACUGACGUUGAGGCUCGAAGGCGUGGGGAGCAAACAGGAUUAGAUACCCGAGUAGUC